UACGGGGGGAGCAAACGUUGUUCGGAAUCACUGGGCGUAAAGGGCGCGUAGGCGGUCCUGUAAGUGGUGUGUGAAAUCCGAUGGCUCAACCAUCGAGCUGCGCUCCAUACUGCAGGACUUGAGUACAGCAGAGGAAAGUGGAAUUCCUGGUGUAGCGGUGAAAUGCGCAGAUAUCAGGAGGAACACCGAUUGCGAAGGCAGCUCGCUGGGACGUAACUGACGCUGAGACGCGAAAGCGUGGGGAGCAAACAGG
rnacentral:rRNA from 1 species